AUUGAACGCUGGCGGCAGGCUUAACACAUGCAAGUCGAGCGGGGACUUCGGUCCUAGCGGCGAACGGGUGAGGAAUGCUUGGGAAUCUGCCCAGUAGCGGGGGAUAACGUUUCGAAAGGAACGCUAAUACCGCAUACGCCCUACGGGGGAAAGGGGGAGAUCUUCGGACCUCUCACUAUUGGAUGAGCCCAAGUCGGAUUAGCUAGUUGGUGGGGUAAAGGCCUACCAAGGCGACGAACCGUAGCUGGUCUGAGAGGAUGAUCAGCCACAAUGGAACUGAGACACGGUCCAGACUCCUACGGGAGGCAGCAGUGGGGAAUAUUGGACAAUGGGCGAAAGCCUGAUCCAGCCAUGCCGCGUGUGUGAAGAAGGCCUUCGGGUUGUAAAGCACUUUAAGCGAGGAGGAAUGGCUCUUGGUUAAUAACCUUGAGCAGUGACGUUACUCGCAGAAUAAGCACCGGCUAACUCUGUGCCAGCCGCCGCCGUAACAC
rnacentral:rRNA from 1 species